rnacentral:rRNA from 1 species
GACGAACGCUGGCGGCGUGCUUAACACAUGCAAGUCGAACGGAAAGGCCCUGCUUUUGUGGGGUGCUCGAGUGGCGAACGGGUGAGUAACACGUGAGUAACCUGCCCUUGACUUUGGGAUAACUUCAGGAAACUGGGGCUAAUACCGGAUAGGAGCUCCUGCUGCAUGGUGGGGGUUGGAAAGUUUCGGCGGUUGGGGAUGGACUCGCGGCUUAUCAGCUUGUUGGUGGGGUAGUGGCUUACCAAGGCUUUGACGGGUAGCCGGCCUGAGAGGGUGACCGGCCACAUUGGGACUGAGAUACGGCCCAGACUCCUACGGGAGGCAGCAGUGGGGAAUAUUGCACAAUGGGCGGAAGCCUGAUGCAGCAACGCCGCGUGCGGGAUGACGGCCUUCGGGUUGUAAACCGCUUUCGCCUGUGACGAAGCGUGAGUGACGGUAAUGGGUAAAGAAGCACCGGCUAACUACCUG